rnacentral:rRNA from 1 species
UGCUAUGUAGGGUGCGGCUGCGCUGGUAAUAUGAGGGGGGCAAUGGUUAAGCGUAAUGAUUGUGCGUAAAGGGGGCGUAGGCUGCCGUGCAAGUGGAAGGUGAAAUCCCUCGUCUUAACCGAUGAACUGCCCUCCAAACUGCUUGGCUUGAGUCCGGGAGAGGUGAGUGGAAUUCCCAGUGUAGCGGUUAAAUGCGUAGAUAUUGGGAGGAACACCAGUGGCGAAGGCGGCUCACUGGACCGGAACUGACGCUGAGGCGCGAAAGCGUGGGGAGCAAACGGGAUUAGAUACCCGAGUAGUC